UACAGAGGGUGCGAGCGUUGUUCGGAAUCAUUGGGCGUAAAGGGCGUGUAGGCGGCCAGGUAGGUCAGCUGUGAAAACUCGAGGCUCAACCUCGAGAUGUCGGCUGAAACCAUCUGGCUAGAGUCCGGAAGAGGAGAAUGGAAUUCCCGGUGUAGCGGUGAAAUGCGCAGAUAUCGGGAAGAACACCCGUGGCGAAGGCGGUUCUCUGGGACGGUACUGACGCUGAGACGCGAAAGCUAGGGGAGCAAACGGG
rnacentral:rRNA from 1 species